CAGCUAAUUUUGAAGAAGAAAACAGAUCAGAUGAAGGGAAUCUUCUUUGCAAACAGUAUUUUGAUGAUUUGAAGCAAUACUGUACACUGGAAUAGUAUAAUAUAGAGUAUCUUGCAAGGAUCAUCAUGUAUGAAGUACUAUACUUGUUCCUCAACUGAGAUGAAGAUCUCA